rnacentral:lncRNA from 1 species
UUUUUUUUGGAAAAAUUUAAAGUUCGGGACAUAAAACACUAUUAACCCUUUAUUUAGACGCUAAUAACCCAUUGUAAAACGAGUAAGCAUCAAAAUAGAAAACCUCAAAGUAGACAACAGUUGCUUUCAGAGGCAUAUCGUCGAACAGAAAGCGGGCAUACAUACAACAUGCAGAUUCAUAUUCCUAAAAUAAAAAAACAAAUUAAGUUUCCAGAAACCCACGAUUGAAAUUAAGUCUUACAGAUUCGGGUUUGCCGAUGAUUUUGGCAACAGCUUUAGUGGCAUCUUUGAGAAUAUCAGAAGCAACGACGCCAUCAACUGGAACAUUUGUGAACAAAUUCAACGUCGGCAUUUCUCUACUUCGCUUCCCAAACUUCGAUAAACUGAACUUGAAAUUUAUCUCUCGAGCUUCGAUUGGAGUGGGAUGAGUGGUUCUAAACUACUUUGGAAAAGACAAAAUGAUAUGAAUAAUUUUUUUAUUUUAAUUUUCACACAUAAGCAGAAUAAAUCUUUAUCAUGUAAUGUGUCCAUCAUUAUUG